rnacentral:rRNA from 1 species
AGGAUGAACGCUGGCGGCGUGCCUAACACAUGCAAGUCGGAACGGGGUUAAGCAGAAAUUUUCGGAUGGGAAGCUUAACUUAGUGGCGGACGGGUGAGUAACGCGUGGAUAACCUGCCUCACACGAGGGGGAUAGCAGCUGGAAACGGCUGGUAAUACCGCAUAAGACCACGGCAUCGCAUGAUGCAGACGGUAAAAGAUUUAUCGGUGUGAGAUGGAUCCGCGUCUGAUUAGCCAGUUGGCGGGUAACGGCCCACCAAAGCGACGAUCAGUAGCCGGCCUGAGAGGGUGAACGGCCACAUUGGGACUGAGACACGGCCCAAACUCCUACGGGAGGCAGCAGUGGGGAAUAUUGCACAAUGGGCGCAAGCCUGAUGCAGCAACGCCCGCGUGAGUGAAGAAGUAUUUCGGUAUGUAAAGCUCUAUCGGCAGGGAAGAAAGGCCCAUUAAGGGAGAUGACGGUACCUGACUAAGAAGCCCCGGCUAACUACGUGCCAGCCGCCGC